GUUAGACCCGGACAGUGCCGUACGCUAACGCGUUAAGUAUACCCGACCCUCGGGGAGUACGGCACGCAAGUGUGGAAACUCAAAGGAAGUUGAACGGGGGCCCCGGCACAAGCGGUGGAGGUAUUGUGGGUUUUAAUUUCGAUGCAACGUCGACGCGGCCGCGGCCGCGUCGACCACGGACGAUGACAUUAGCUGCAGAAUAAGCACCGGCUAAACUCUGUGCCAGCAGCCGCGGUAAUACAGAGGGUGCAAGCGUUAAUCGGAAUUACUGGGCGUAAAGCGAGCGUAGGUGGCUUGAUAAGUCAGAUGUGAAUCCCGGCUACUGGACUGCAUCUGAUACUGUGCAGACUACGUACGUACCGUGGUAGGUACGUACGUUCCACCGUCCGACGCGUGAAUAGCGUAGAGAUCUGGAGGAAUAACCGAUCGGCGGAAGGACGACGCCUUCUGGCAGUACAUAUGACACUGAGGUCGAAAGCGUGGGUAGCAAACAGGAUUAGAUACCCCUGGUAGUCCACGCCGUAAACGAUGUCUACUAGUCGUUGGGUCCCUUG
rnacentral:rRNA from 1 species